rnacentral:rRNA from 1 species
GACGAACGCUGGCGGCGUGCCUAACACAUGCAAGUCGAACGGAAAGGCCCUGCUUUGGUGGGCUGCUCGAGUGGCGAACGGGUGAGUCACACGUGAGUAACCUGCCCUUGACUUUGGGAUAACUUCAUGAAACUGGGGCUAAUACCGGAUAGGAGUUCCUGCUGCAUGGUGGGGGUUGGAUAGUUUCGGCGGUUGGGGAUGGACUCGCGGCUCAUCAGCUUGUUGGUGGGGUAGUGGCUUACCAAGGCUUUGACGGGUAGCAGGCCUGAGAGGGUCACCGGACCAAUUGGGCCGGAGAUACGGCCCAGACCAGUAUGGGAGGCAAGGGAGCGGAAUAUUAUACAAUGGGAGGAAGCCUGACGCAGCAAAGCCGCGUGGGGGAUGACAGGAUGCGGGUUGUAAAGCGAUGUCGCCUGUGACGAAGUGAGAGUGACAGUAAUGGGUAAAGAAGCACCGGCUAACUACGUG